AACUAGUUAGUAAGUUCCGCAAACAUGCACAAAGCAGUAGUCUCUGCUGUUGCAGCGUUGACGUUCACUCUACUGCUACGUGUAAAUGGCGACAUAGAGACUGUCUCUACUUGCUUGAGAGGAGCAGACUAUCCAUGCGCAUACCCCGAUGUGUGCACUCAAUGCCCACCAAACGUCACGGACUAUCCCGGCCAUACUUUUUUCUACUAUGCGCCAGAAAGAAACUCAUGCGUUCGCAUUUCAGGAACCACUGACAAUUGCAACGGUUUUGUUGAUGACGACAGCUGUCGAACUUUGUGUGGCUUAGA